rnacentral:misc_RNA from 1 species
GAUGAAGAACGUAGCGAAAUGCGAUAAGUAAUGUGAAUUGCAGAAUUCAGUGAAUCAUCGAAUCUUUGAACGCACAUUGCGCCCAUUAGCAUUCUAGUGGACAUGCCUGUUCGAGCGUCAUUUCAACCCUUAAGCCCUGUUGCUUAGCGUUGGGAGCCUACAGUACUGUAGCUCCCCAAAGUUAGUGGCGGAGUCGGUUUCACACUCUAGACGUAGUAAUUUUUUCUCGUCUGUAGUUGAGCCGGUCCCCUGCCGUAAAACACCCAAUUUAUCAAGGUUGACCUCGGAUCAGGUAGGAAUACCCGCUGAACUUAAGCAUAUCAAUAAGCGGAGGA